CAGAUCCAACAUUGUAUUGUAAAUAUAAUACCCGUUUACUGCUGUGCGUUUAAGUUCAGCCAUUUCUGCGUGGACAACUUGCUAUCUUUUGUAUGGUGUCAGCUUACAGGAAUGUUUCCAGAUACUUUGUCAGGUCAGAGCAGGAACCCGUGCAUUCAAAAUCGGACGCUGUACAUAUCAGGCGGGAAAUUCCAUCACAUUGCUGGAUGUAGAAGACGGUACAUUUUACUUUGGUGACAAGACGACAGAUUUCUAAAAGGAGAAGCCAACACAGACGCAAGAAAAGCCCGAUGGCAAAGAUGACUGAUUAUUUUCCAUAUGUAUUGAUGAAAUAAAGUAUUCUUUAAAACA